CAGCCUUUGACUUUCUCAUUUAUAUUCUUACAAAUGAUUUGUUCAUGGCACGUUUCACUUCAUCAGAACCAUCUGAAUAGAUCUGCUGAAAUAAUUUGUUU